AUUUAUUAUUAUUUUUUAAAAUCUUUUCCCUUGUUCCGAGAUCGCCCCUCUGCGGGGACCCCCGUUGGCGAAGCACAAUCAGCACCGAGGUCUGACGCCCAGCCGAUCCCGCAAGCGCGCGACCGAGUCGCGGAGGGAGCGCAGCGACGGCUCAGUGCGGUCCGUCCGGCCGUGCGCCUCGGUCCUAGCCCGCGGACGCAUCUCGUCAGCACAUUCCUUGACCCAAGGGGACAAAGGACUCAUUCAGCCGCACAAUUACCACGCAAGGUGCCCAAGGCGAAACACAAACUCGGUGUCCCUGGCCAGACAGUAGGGGAAGGCAGUAGAGAGCAGCCCAUCAUCCUGUCCUGUCCUUUUCUUCAGGGGACCAAAGAGCUCACGGCUGGUCUUCUGGCAUCUCCUUCCACCUUACCCUUUUGCAAUUUCUGUUUCCUACUCUUCCGCCCCAGCUUUUCCCCCAAGUGUCUAGGGACCACUCUCUUAACCUGGGGUCAGUCACCUAAUCCAUACAGAGGUGGAGCCCUAUGUCCCUUACAGAACACGAUGAAAGCAGAGGCCCUUUUCCCUAGAAAAAUGCAUUCCAUUCCAGAGAGUUCACAGAUACCCUGCACCCCCAUGCAGGAACCCCACUUUCAGGAUCCAAGAACGAAGAUAUAAACUGAUCGCUGUUUAAGUUUCUCGUGUUUUACAUUUCAGUGGGAGUUAUGGCAAGAUUGAGUUAUAUGGCAAGAUUGAGUUAUGGCAAGAUUAAGUUAUAACUUUGAGUAGUCCUAGUUGUUUGGAAAAGAUUCAGUGGGAAAGAGUGAAAAAAAUAUUCUUGGGGAAUUUGAGUUGGUGGCACCCCUUGCUCCCAGCCCUUCCCUAAAGUGGAACCCAGGCAUCGUCCUGAAUUUCUCCCUCUUUUUCAGACUCCACAUGCUAACCUCUUGUUUUUUUUCUGUUUUUUAAUCUUAAACAUGCCUUGAAUUCAACCCCUCUUUUCCAUCUCUUCCACAAUGGCCCGGUGCAAGCCUUUGAUGUUUCUGGAACCAUGCUUUGUCUCUACACACACAUGCACACACACACGCACGCACACGCACACACACACACACACAUGCACACACGCACACACACAGCCUCUGA
rnacentral:lncRNA from 1 species